rnacentral:lncRNA from 1 species
GGAACUUAUCUUUAACUGUAUGAGCAUUCAAUUCCCAGUAAUCCACACAAAGUCGCCAUGAACCGUCUGCUUUGGGAACAAGGAUUACAGGUGAUGAAAAAGGGGAUUGGCUAGGUCGAAUAAUUCCCUUCUUCAACAUCUCAGCACACUGUCUCUCGAUCUCAUCUUUCUGGCCAUGAGGGUACCUGUACGGCCGUACCACAACUGGUCUGGUGCCCGGUUCCAAAGGAAUUCGGUGAUCACAGAAGCGGCUUGGGGGAAGAGCUUUAGGUUCUUUGAAGAUGCCGGAGAAUUCGGUGAGAAGGUGUUGUAAUUGGGUUUCGACAUCCGGGAAGGAAGAGACUGAAUUUAGGCUUACGGGUUGUUUAAUGGCAAGAUUUUGGAUUCCCUGUAAUUCGAUAUUGGUGCCUGAAAUAGAGAAAGCCAUUCGCAUAAUAAAAAAAUACCAAAGAAUGGGUCCCAGAGUUUUUAACUAGCUGACUCCCAGUACCACAUCAAUACCGCUUAGAGGAAGGACAAAAAGGUCUAUUCCAAAAGGGUGGCCCCCCAUCUGUAACUCUGAAUUGCGACAAACACCAGAACUGAAUAUCUGUUCGCCGUUUGCAACUCGAACCCGAAGUCCGUCUUUCUUUUCAAUCUUCGGAUCCACCUGUUUAACAAUAUUGGCAGCCACGAAAUUGUGAGUACUACCAGAAUCUAUGAGAACGAGAACAGAUUUACCAUUCCAUUCAGCCAUCACACGCAUAGUUUGAGCAUUGUGGGUUCCUGUAAUCGCAUUCAAAGAGAUUUCUGGUGAUUCUUCGCCGGUGUCCAUGUCACUUUCACCAUCAUCAAGUUCAAUCCAAAAUAAUCUUUUGCAUUGAUGACCCCGAGAGAAGGGUUCAUCACAGUUAAAGCAAAGAUUUUUCUUUCGCCGUUCCUCCAUCUCUGCUGGACUCAACCGCCGAAUACUUCUGUUGCCCUUGGAUUCUAUAGGAGCCGUCACCGAACGAUUAGAAAACCGCGAUGGUAAUGGGGUUCUUUUCUCAUAUAACCGAGACAUGCUCAUAGCAGUCGCU